rnacentral:rRNA from 1 species
GCAAGGCCUUGCGCUCUUUGAGCGGCCGAUGUCAGAUUAGCUAGUUGGUGAGGUAAAGGCUUACCAAGGCGACGAUCUGUAGCGGGUCUGAGAGGAUGAUCCGCCACACUGGAACUGAGACACGGUCCAGACUCCUACGGGAGGCAGCAGUGGGGAAUUUUGGACAAUGGGGGCAACCCUGAUCCAGCCAUGCCGCGUGAGUGAAGAAGGCCUUCGGGUUGUAAAGCUCUUUCGGCCGGGAAGAAAUCGCAUGGGCCAAUACCCUGUGUGGAUGACGGUACCGGAAUAAGAAGCACCGGCUAACUACGUGCCAGCAGCCGCGGUAAUACGUAGGGUGCGAGCGUUAAUCGGAAUUACUGGGCGUAAAGCGUGCGCAGGCGGUUUUGUAAGACAGGCGUGAAAUCCCCGGGCUUAACCUGGGAACUGCGUUUGUGACUGCAAGGCUAGAGUACGGCAGAGGGGGGUGGAAUUCCACGUGUAGCAGUGAAAUGCGUAGAGAUGUGUAGGAACACCAAUGGCGAAGGCAGCCCCCUGGGUCGAUACUGACGCUCAUGCACGAAAGCGUGGGUAGCAAACAGGAUUAGAUACCCUGGUAGUCCACGCCCUAAACUAUGUCAACUAGGUGUUGGGUGGGUAAAACCAUUUAGUACCGUAGCUAACGCGUGAAGUUGACCGCCUGGGGAGUACGGCCGCAAGGUUAAAACUCAAAGGAAUUGACGGGGACCCGCACAAGCGGUGGAUGAUGUGGAUUAAUUCGAUGCAACGCGAAAAACCUUACCUACCCUUGACAUGCCAGGAACUUGCCAGAGAUGGCUUGGUGCCCGAAAGGGAGCCUGGACACAGGUGCUGCAUGGCUGUCGUCAGCUCGUGUCGUGAGAUGUUGGGUUAAGUCCCGCAACGAGCGCAACCCUUGUCGUUAAUUGCCAUCAUUUAGUUGGGCACUUUAACGAGACUGCCGGUGACAAACCGGAGGAAGGUGGGGAUGACGUCAAGUCCUCAUGGCCCUUAUGGGUAGGGCUUCACACGUCAUACAAUGGUCGGUACAAAGGGUUGCCAAGCCGCGAGGCGGAGCCAAUCCCAGAAAGCCGAUCGUAGUCCGGAUUGCAGGCUGCAACUCGCCUGCAUGAAGUCGGAAUCGCUAGUAAUCGUGGAUCAGCAUGUCACGGUGAAUACGUUCCCGGGUCUUGUACACACCGCCCGUCACACCAUGGGAGCGGGUUCCGCCAGAAGUAGGUAGC